CCUCCCUCCCAUCACCUGCUUUUUUGGUCAGGUGCUUUGUCCCAGCAAUGAGAAGUAAAAAGACAUCUCUGAGGAUGUUUCUUGUGAUUCAUUCAUGGAGUCCUCAAAAUGGACAGCUUGUAUGGUCACAAUUGACUCUCCUAGCACCCCAGACUGUGUAAGAGCCACUAUCAUCAUGACAAAACCUAAGUGUAUUCAGGAGUACUCCCACUCACCAUCCUUGAUGCAAAAGAGAGAGAGAGAAGAGAGAGAGAAUGUGUAUUUCAAGGACCUCAAGCC